CUGCCUACGGGGCGCAGCAGUGGGGAAUAUUGGGCAAUGGGCGAAAGCCUGACCCAGCAAUGCCGCGUGCAUGCCGCCGGUCUUCGGCUUGUCCCCUUCUGUCCUCUGGGCCGCCACAACUGACGGUACCAUAGGAGGAAGCCCCGGCUAACUACGUGCCAGCAGCCGCGGUAAUACGUAGGGGGCGAGCGUUGUCCGGAAUUACUGGGAGUAAAGAGAGCGUAGGCGGCACUACAAGUCUCAUGUGAAAUACCCGGGCUUAACUUGGGGGUUGCAUGGGAAACUGUAGAGCUUGAGUACAGGAG
rnacentral:rRNA from 1 species